GUCUCUCCGUCUUCUCUCCAACUUACUCAACGGGUCUAUCCCGGAUUUCUUAACCAAUCUCACCGAGUUAACUCGUCUAGAAAUCGCUGCCAACAAUUUCGGCCCAAGCCCACUUCCGGCCGACAUAGGCCGCCUCACCAAACUCGAAAAUCUCUGGUUUCCAUUUUCAAAUAUAAUUGGUUCAAUCCCAGACUCAAUUGGAAACCUCAAAUCUCUUAAAAACCUCGACCUCUCCGUCAACAACCUCACUGGAAAGAUCCCAGAAAGUAUCGGAGGACUAAUUGCUGUCGAACAGAUAGAGCUCUAUUCAAACCAACUCUCCGGUGAAAUUCCAGAUACAUUUUCGAACCUGACUUCUUAUAUAAUUUCGAUGCUUCAUCGAACAAUCUCACCGGAAGAAUACCAGAAAGUCUAACCGGUUUAGCUCUGCAAUCCUUCAAUCUCAAUGACAACAAUUUGGAAGGCCAAAUCCCAGAAAAUUUAGCUCUAAAUCCUUAUCUUUAUCAGCUCAAGCUCUUUAAUAACAGAUUAUCCGGCAAUUUACCGGUUAAUUUGGGAAGGAAUUCAGGCUUGGAAGAUUUUGAUGUAUCUGGGAAUUUUCUAGAAGGGCCUUUGCCUCCAAAUCUUUGUUUCAAGAAGCAGCUAGACAGAUUAGUUUUGUUUAACAAUAACUUUUCUGGUCCAAUCCCUGAGUCGUAUGGUGAGUGCAGUUCGUUAACGUACGUCCGGAUUUCAGUAAUGAGCUGUCUGGAGUUGUACCUCCUAGUUUCUGGAGUUUUCCUGGGCUUACGAUUUUUGAACUCCGAAACAAUAGACUAGAGGGUGAAAUUCCUCCUACGGUUUCAAAUGCCCGUAAUCUAACAGGAUUUUUGAUAUCGGGCAACAGCUUUUCUGGCAGUUGCCGGAGGGAAUAUGCGAGUUGGAACAGCUUCAAAUUAUAGACAUUAGCAGCAACCGGUUCUCAGGCAAACUGCCCUCGUGCAUACCAAAUUGAACAAGUUACUCAAGCUUGAUGUCCAAGAAAACUCAAUCACAGGUGAAAUCCCGACCUCUGUUACCACUUGGACUGAUUUAACAGAAUUGAACUUAUCUGGCAAUCAAUUUUCUGGUACAAUUCCAGCUGAGCUCGGGGAGUUGCCUGAUUUGACAUACUUAGAUCUUUCCGAGAAUUUACUUUCUGGUGAGAUUCCUCGGAUUUGUCAAAACUCAAGCUCAAUAUGUUCAAUUUAUCAAAUAAUAGGCUUCAGGGCAGAGUACCUAGUGCAUUCGACAAUGAAAUUUUCAUUUCAAGCUUAGUGGGCAAUUCGGAUUUGUGCAGUCCUGAUCUUAAACCUCUCCCUUCAUGCCAGAAAAGAAGACCCAUAAGCUUGGUUUUGGUGGGAAUUUUAUCAGCCUUGUCAGGAAUACUCGUCGUAUCAUUUCUAUGGCUAUUGAUCAAGUCAAAGAAGCUAAAUUUAUUUGCAGGUCGGGGCAAAAAAUCAUGGAAAAUGACUGCAUUUCAGCGACUGUGGUUCAACGAGGAAGAUAUUGUUGCCUUUCUGAGUCAAGAUAAUCUCAUUGCAACAGGCGGGUCGGGCCAAGUUUAUCGUGUCAUGUUGAAGAACGGGCCGACAGUCGCAGUCAAGAGACUCUGGGAUGCUAACGUGGACCAGAAUCUGAAGAGGUGUUCCAAUCAGAGGUGGAGACUUUGGGCAGAAUCAAGCAUGGUUGCAUAGUGAAGUUGUUGUUCAGUUGCUCUGGAGACAACUUUAGGAUAUUAGUGUACGAUUACAUGGAGAAUGGGAGCUUGGGGAUGUACUACACGGAGAGAAAGGUGGGGUAUUGUUGGAUUGGCAUACGAGGUUCAAGAUUGCAAUUGGGGCUGCUCAAGGACUGGCCUAUUUGCACCAUGAUUGCGUACCCGCAAUUGUUCAUAGGGAUGUGAAGUCUAACAACAUUAUUGUUGGAUGAGGAAUUCAGGCCAAAGGUCGCUGAUUUUGGUUUGGCAAAAACUCUGCAUAAAAAUAUGGAGGAGGGCGGCCAACUCAUGUCUCAGAUUGCUGGCUCCUACGGCUAUAUUGCUCCAGAAUAUGCAUACACUCUGAAGAUCACAGAGAAGAGUGAUGUAUACAGCUUUGGUGUGGUUCUGUUGGAACUGAUUACUGGUAAACGGCCAAUCGAUCCCUCUUUUGGGAGAAUAAAGAUAUCGUACAGUGGGUAAUGGAGGUGGCAUUGUCAUCUGCAGAACAACCAAUAGCCAACGAUAGUGCCAAAAUUUGUGCUGACUAUUUGGAUCACCUUGUAGAUGCAAGGUUGAAACCAUCAACAUCUGAGCUUGAAGAGAUUAGGGUGGUCUUAGACGUCGCCCUUCAGUGCGUUUCAUCUCUUCCAAUGAACAGGCCCUCCAUGAGAAGAGUGGUAGAAUUGCUCAAAGACAAAUCCAGGGCCCGUUCUUAGUAAUGUAGUAUAUAGCACAUACAGUGUUGGUGUAUCACUAAAAAGGAAAAAAAAAAAAAAAAAGAAGAAGAAGAAUCAUUGCGGUUUUGAAUCUGGCCUCGGUAUUGUUCUAGAAUGUAUAGACUGUGCCAAUACCAACUGGAUAGCACUAAGCAGAUGCUUGACAAUGUCUAAAAAGUCCUAGAAACUAUUCAGUAGCAAGUGCUAAAAGUUGACUAGCUCUACUUCUGUACGCUGUGAAUUAGAAAGGUAGAUAGAAGCACUGAAAAUUGUAAUACUAGAAGAUUCAGUACCAGAGUUGGAUUGCUGUAAAAUCUCUACUCUUUUGAUCGAGACAAAUGCAUGUAGUAGUGCUAAAGCUGGGUAUUUGUUCCACUCGCA